GAGGGAGGAGUCGCAGCGCCCGCUGCCUGUGCUCCGCGGGCGUCACGUUGCCGCGGCCUCGGCGCGCCUGGAGGCCUGGAAAGGCUUUCAGUGGGAUAGAGAGAGGGGGCGGGCGGCGGGCUGGCUGCGCGUGGACCUGUGGCUUCUCUGGCUGCAGAGGCGCAGCCUCCUGGGCGUGUCCCAGCUCCGGCGCUCUGGCGCUCCCAUUCUUGUUUCCUUCCUUCCGUCCGUCCCUCCCUUCCUUCUUCUCUUCCUCCCUUCCUCCCGCCCUUCUCUCUCCCCCUCCUCCCUUCGUCUCUCCCUCCUUCCCUCCUUCCCCGCGCCCUUGGUCGGGGUCGCGGCGGGACGAAGCCGCCUCCAGGAUGAAGUUGAAGCCGAACCGGAGGAGGAGGACUGACGUUUGGCCGCGAGCGUGGCUAGAAGCGGGGCUGCCUGGGCUCACUUACUCCGUGGGCUGAGGGGUAGGGGGGAGGGAAGGAGAGGGGAUCCGUAUCCAGAUCAGUGCGUUGUUCCCGGUGGAGGAAUGGAGCCCGAGGUAGAGCAAGGCGGAGCUGCGGGAAGACAAGCGCAGGAAAAGGAAAAUUAGGCAGACUCCUGGGGAUCUGUGAACACAAUCAAGACGGCAAGCAUCGCACUUAGGGAUCUAUUGCAACCCUGGGAGGAUUCUUUUUUCAUAGCAAGGAAGGUUGAAGAUGCCAUUAAAGUUCUGGAGUGUCAUCAACCUGCACAAACCGACUAUUUGGAAAAAUUCAAGUCGGGCUGCUCACCAACCAAUGAAAUUCCGUGGUUCCCACCCUUGCAGACAACAAUUCUUGGUCUCGUCUCCAAGUUUUUGGACUACUUUUGGCUGCAUCAUAAGGCAUACUUUACCUGCCAGAAGGAAAGGGGAUGAGCCAGAUGAUGUAUCGACCUAAAAUCUAAAUCUUAGGCUGGGGUCACAACGACACACAGGUGUUGCCAUCUAAACCUCAACUAUGGAGCAGCAUAACAGUACGUGCUACAGUUUGAGAGAAGGGUUUUGUGACUGUUGCCAGUGAAGCGUCUACGCGUGGGUUUGUAUAAAUACAGCCUUACAGGUUUAGAUGGAUGAUGGUCAAAGGAUACGAAAAGAUAAUAUUCAAAAGAUGACAUCCAAAAUUGGGAAUUAUUCCUUGGGAAAUCUUAGUCUUGCUAUCGAAGAGAUGUACAUUACAAGGAACUUUGAGGUACCACCUCGUAAUCACCAGCUAAGCAAAAAUAAUUCAGAACAUCAAAACUCAGGGAUGUGGAUUGAUGUCGCAGAAUCAUUUUGGACAGCAACAUGGCAGUGCACAUUAACCAUUAAAAAAGUCAUCCUAGCCUUUGAACUCAUAACGCCAUUGUUAGGAAUAGAAUCUGAAAGUAUCAGCAAAAACCAAAAUGAAAAAAGCCAUCUGUUGGAGGAUUUCCACGUCAGCAUUAUGUGUGAUUACCAAGACUGAAAAACAACUUAAAUGCUGAGAAACAGGGGAAAUUGUAGUCCGUGAAGGUAAUAGGAGAGGCAACAUGGCAUGUUGUAGUGGAGAGAGAACUUCCUUCAGACUAAGGAAAUCCUGGGGAUCAUCUCUUACAUAUGCUAGCUUUGUGACUCUGGGCAAUUCACUUAAUGUCUCAGUGCCUCAGGGAACUAUGGAAAAGUACACAGCACUCACAGGUGUGUAUCAGUAGAGAGAAUUUCCUCAUUGGAAGGCCCCUAAACCUAUCAAACCAAAAGGACAGACCAUUGCCCCCACUACCUGCUGCCAAGAUAUACACAAAAUUUACUUGGCUGAACUUUUAAAAAUAAAAGUUUCCAGUACAAAUUGUUCAGAAUAAAUAAGGAAGUUAAAAAGAAAAAAACCAGAAGUUCAACUGUUUUGGCAAAACUUUCUCUUUUAGGAAGCUUUCAGUUGUAUGUUGUCUUUGAAAAUUCGAACGUACAGCAUUGGCUUUCUAAAUCCAGUGUCAGGGUACAGGGAGGAGAACAGGCAGAUGACACCCAAUGAUUUCUGGUUAAAGAACAGGAAGUCUGAACAAUGGGAAUGAAAUAACCACAGUAUCAAUUUCCACUUACUGCCACAUCUUAUCCACUGGAUAGAUUCCUAUUAUACCCUAUUCAAUGGCCUGUAUUUACAGUUAGUAUCUCAGGGCCAAGAUGAAAACAGUGGAAUUGAGUACAUCAUCUAAGGUUACACAAGCUGCACUGUACACACACAUCCUCAGGUUUUGUUCAGGCAAUUUGCUCAUUUCAGUAAUUCUCACUACAUCUUUACUUCUAGUCUGCACUCUGCAAUGAGGCUGAUUCCUCAAUAUGGAAAAAUAUUGGAUUUUAUACGUGACAGUGGUUGCUAAUUCAUUCAGAGUAGACUCCUCAGGAAACUGGACACCUGUUUAAACAAAACUUAAGGACUGAGAUACAAAUUUUUUUGUCUUUGGAGAGUAGAUUCAAGUUUUAGAAGAAAGCUAAACAUAAUUCAGAUUCAAUUAUGACCCUGGGAUCCGAGAUUUAAACGUGUUUGGAAUGUUAGAGGCUAAUGCUCUGUCUCUCCUAACACAUCCUCCCCUCCAUUUUCAAAAAGAGGAAAUUGAAGUACAGAGAGAUCAAGGGUGACGUGAAUUACCCAGGGUCAUACAACUAGCAAGAGUUUGAGGAAGGAUUUCAAUCCAUUUCCCCCUGACUACAAUUCUAGUGCUCUGUCAGUCAUGCUAUGUUGCCUUUCUAAUCAAGUAAAUGAUAUGACUGGGUAGUAAUGCCAUUUUUUCUUAAAUCUGGAAGGAAAAGUAUAAGACAUAUAAUUGUAAACUAAUGGAACCAGGGAGAAAAGGUUUCCUUCUGUGGCUCUGAAGACAUCAUCAUGUAUGUGUAUGUGUAUGUUCAUGUGUAUGUAUAUAGAUAGAUAGAGAUAGGUAUAGUCAUAUAAAUAUUCACAUACAUUUACCUGUACAAUGUACAUAAACACAUGUACAUAUAAAUGUACAUAUUCUCUACAUCUAUUGAUGUAUGUUUUGUGUGUAUGGCUAUGUAGGUAUGUAUAGAAAUAUAUUGAGAUCUCACCCUCUUCCUGGCCUUAUGCUAUGUACAGUUUCAUGUAUUUCAUGAUUGCAGAAAAGAUGGAUUUUUCUUUUCCUUACCUCCUUUCCAUAUGGUUGUCUUCCUAUCACCUCUGGUGCCAUCCAGUACGGAGUCCCAAUGAAUGAUGUCCUCUUUGGGACUUGUGCCGUAAGUUGAGCGCAAAAGCCAAAAUCGGCUAACUUUAUCUGGAAAACAAUAGAUGCAACAACAGGACCCCUUGACCAUGUUUCCUGCCAUUCCAUAUAGACAUGAAUGAAGUAAGAUACAAAAUUAAAAAUUAAAUGAGUUGUCAUAUUCUGGCCAAUUAGCAGAUAAUAUAUGCAGUAUUUUAGCAGAUAUUUUCAUCUCCCCUAUGAUGCCUAGAACAGUAUAUAUCAAUAUGUAUCUGAUUUUCUUUUGAAAUGAUGUGUCGCUCAUGAGGCAGCUAGGUGUCCCAAUGCUUGGAGCACUAGCCUUGACUGCCUCAUAUACUUGCUAGCUGUGUCAUUUGCUGAGCAAGUCAUUUACUAGAUACCUUUCCACUUCAGUUUCCUCACCAGUCAAGUCAAUACUCAUUGGUUAAGCAUGCGUCAAGCACUGGGAUAAGCUCUGGAGACACACAGAAAGGCAAAACAUAGUUCCUGUUCUCAGCUCACAGUCUAAUUGGGGAGAGGACCUGCAAACAAUUAUGUCCAAACAAGAUCUAUACAGGCUUCACUUGGGGGAAGUCUCAGAAGAAGGGCACUCAGAAAGAGUAAGGAGGAUUAGGAAAAGCUUCUUGUAGAAGGUAGGCCUUGAGUUGAAACUUGAGGGAGGUCAGGGAAGGCAGGAGCUGCAGAUAAGGAAGGGCAGCAUUCCAGGCUUAGAGGACCGCCAGUGAAAAUGGCCAGAGUCAAGAAGAGAUGGACCAUUUUAUGCAAGGAACAGAAAAGAGGCCAGAGUAUGUAGCAGGGAGUAAGGUUCAAGAAUACUGAAAAACAUGAAACAGAAUGGCAUCUACCUCACAGGGUUGUUGAAGGGCAUCAUAUGAGUUAACACAGGAAAAGUGCUUUGUAAACCAAAUGCUCUCUAAACUCUGUUGUUAUGAUUGAUGUUUUUGUCACCUAGGUAGUGGAUGGCUAAAGAAUUCUGAGUACUUCAGAUCACACCUUGCAUUCUUUCCACUGAUGAAAUGUGUACUUCUUGAAAACAGAACAUAUUAAAUGUUUGUCUCUAUC